GGCAGACGGGUGAGUAACAUGUAGGUAUCUACCCUUUGGCCUGGAAUAACACGAGGAAACUUGUGCUGAUACCGGAUAAGUCUUUACGGAGAAAGCUUUAUGCACCAAUGGAUGAGCCUGCACUUGAUUAGUUAGUUGGUAAGGUAAUAGCUUACCAAGACUUUGAUCAAUAGCUGAUUUGAGAGGAUGAUCAGCCACAUUGGGACUGAGACACGGCCCAAACUCCUACGGGAGGCAGCAGUGGGGAAUCUUGCACAAUGGAGGAAACUCUGAUGCAGCGAUGCCGCGUGAGUGAAGAAGGCCUUUGGGUUGUAAAGCUCUUUCGUCGGGGAAGAAAAUGACUGUACCCGAAUAAGAAGGUCCGGCUAACUUCGUGCCAGCAGCCGCGGUAAUACGAAGGGACCUAGCGUAGUUCGGAAUUACUGGGCUUAAAGAGUUCGUAGGUGGUUGAAAAAGUUGGUGGUGAAAUCCCAGAGCUUAACUCUGGAACUGCCAUCAAAACUUUUCAGCUAGAGUAUGAUAGAGGAAAGCAGAAUUUCUAGUGUAGAGGUGAAAUUCGUAGAUAUUAGAAAGAAUACCAAUUGCGAAGGCAGCUUUCUGGAUCAUUACUGACACUGAGGAACGAAAGCAUGGGUAGCGAAGAGGAUUAGAUACCCUCGUAGUCCAUGCCGUAAACGAUGUGUGUUAGACGUUGGAAAUUUAUUUUCAGUGUCGCAGUGAAAACGAUAAACACAC
rnacentral:rRNA from 1 species